AGCUGGCAGGACACCAGACGGAUGCACACAAGCACACCACCCCCUGCUCCUUUUAGAAGGGGCCUCGUCUCCACGGCGACUGAAGACAAAAAAGGAGGCCCUGGCACAGCUGGUCUAUAGCAACAGAGAGAGAGAGACAGGAGGGGAAAAAACAGUGAAUAAGUGUUCAGAUGUACAGACAGCACAGAGGGUGAGGGGGAGUGAGAGACAGUGAAAGCAGCAGUGCCGAAGUCGAUUUGGGAAAAGGAAGAAGAGGGAGAGACAGAGAGGGAGGGUGAAAGAGGGGGAGGAGAGGGAAGACAUAUACAAACUCCCAGAGAACAGGAGGAGAAAGUGGAGCAAGGCUGCAAAAGGAACAGUUGCACAGAAACGGCUGCUGAUCUGCUCAAAGAGUCAAAUUACCUCCAGAGCUAGUGACUCAGGCUGAACUGGAACAGGCUAAUUAGAUGAAGAGCCUGAGAAGCAGCAGGCACCACAAACAAACUUGAGAAAAAAGGAGAAAGAGAAGGGGAAGGUGAAAACAAGAAGUCUGUGAAACAUCGUGGUGACAGUUUUAUGCACUGCUGAGUUUGGUUCUCGUUUCAAAGAAGAGUUCAGAGAUGGAAGCAGUGACGCUGUCACUGUGAAGCUGCACACAUUCACUGCAGAGUGAAACAAGUUCUGCAGUUACCCGUUUGCUUCGAAAGAAAAGCCUAAGCCAUUACUGCAUCUUGUCUUGCCUCACCUGCAUCUGAAAGUCAGCAUGGAUGCGAAAAACGAGAUAAUGGAUAUUCUUCAGAAGGUGUGGACCAAACUGCAGGGUCUCCCACAAGCAACUUCACUGGAGCUGGGAGCCUUCUUUGUGCUCGUUCUGUUUGUUGCCAUGGUUAUCUUCAUGGUCGUGUUGUCUUGCAUCCACUGCUGUUGCUGUGGGAAGCCAAAGUACCAGGGCUCAAGAGUCCAGCCUUUACAGCCCGUCUGAGAAGAAGACAGAGAGAAGAAUCCACCAACAAAUACAGCCUUCACCUUUCUUUCUGCCCUCCAUGGAAUCACCCACGUGAUAAAGGGCAUUUACUCACACACAUUUCAAAUGAGCAAACGAUUUUCAGAGCCACUGAUUUCUUUAAAGGGCAUCAAAUGAGAUUAAUCGAGGGACGACAGAGAAGUCAUUGCCAUUUAUCCAGCUGCGGGUUAAAGACUGAAUCAGCAUCCAGAGAGCCACUGGAAUCCAUAUAAAUCAACAGACUGGCACGACUCAUCAAGAUUCAUCACAAAGGAGAACAAUGAAACACUGUGUGGCUGCAUUUCAUGGACACAAAGAUAUAAGAAGCUGAUUUGUGCUCAAACGUCACAGAGACACCAGUCUUACAAAUGUAGUAGUUUGGUAUGCUGUUGACAUUCAUUGAGAAUGUGAAGAACAGCAAUGAAAAUAUGCAUUCCAAUAAGUGAAUGUGUCAUGGACUUGAAGUUACAUGUUUUGAACAACAAAAAAGAGAGAGAAAGACAGAGCGCCCUCUGCUGGUUAAUUUGCAAGCAUUUGUUUUUGAAAGUUGCGCCAAUAGAAAAUGUGAUCUGUUGUCCCAGCAGUUACAACUGUAUAUUCUCUUUAUAUGAAUCAAACUGUCUGCUACGCUUAGUUGCUCUUAUUUGUAUAAAUGUAAUAAAUGUUCAAUGUAUUUACAAAAAAGAAAUAUAUGUUUCUGGUUGUUGGAUUCUCUGUAAAGAUACCAGAGGGUGUGUGAGCAUAUUAACAAUGGUAAAUACUGCUCAAUUUUAUUCCUAUAACAACAUUUUUAUCUAAAUCCCAUGAGCGAAACACUGAACAAGUGUGCAAGCCUUAUCAUUACACUUCUAUUUGCCUCCACCAGUAUUUUGAGUUUAAACAUUAACCAGGCACUGUUGCUUUCAUUUUGCCAACACGUAGCAAAUGUCAUUGUCACCUGGAAAGCAACAGGAACUGUUCAGAGUUUGGAUUUAUAGAAAGCCUCUUUUGUUCACAGAGCGACAGUAAACUGCAAUGUUUGGGCUUUUUAAAUAGUUCUGACGCUGUGUGUGGAUCAAAACAGUAGCUGAAGCUGGGCUCUGACACACAACUACAGUUUAUUCACCGUCUGUUAGAACUCACUGAGCCGUGAGAGGAUCAUUUAGCAGGACAUGGCGGUGGAGAGUUUAAUAGAGCAGCAAAAACCUGCAGGCUCACCAGAGGACUGGGUGGAGUGGUUCCUGUAUCGACUACAACGGGAGCCGUGGGCACUGGGUGGUUUUGUGGUCAUUGGAGUGUUCGCUCUGGGAACUCUGUCUCUGACAAUCUUCGCUCUCCUGUAUGGAUGCUGCUGCAGCCCUGGAGAAGGAAAACCAAACAAGAAGAGGCAGCAGAAGAAGUCAGAGGAUACAGUGAUCUAGAUGUGCGAAGAGAACAGACUCAUGCUGCAGAAUGAAUGUCAACUUCACGUGGAAUUGUGUAUUUUUUUCUUUUUUAGAUGUGGUGUAAAUCAAAAUUGAGAGUUUUCAGUUUUAUAGAUAUCAAUUUCUUCAAGAUAAUUUUACAUCAAAUCAAAAUGUUUUUUUUUCCCUAUAAUCUUUAUUUCUGUAUUUGGAGAACAUUAGGAUCAUAUCACCAAAAUCUAAUCGUUGUUUCAGUUUAGAAUGGUGCAGAUGUUACACACAAAAUUAAACCAGCACUGUUUUUCUAAGGUCAGCUGUAUAAAAACCUUUUUGUAAAAUUAA